GGUUACUUGUCCGUUGUCGGUUUCCGCAAGGAAUCAAAAGGGAAUCCGCCGCCGGCCCGCCGGCGAACCGGAACUGCCCCCGCAACUGUAGGCGGCGAGCGCGCAGCGAUAAUGCCACUGUGGCCAUGGGCCAUGGGAAGGCUGCUGUCAGCAAUGACCCGCCAGUCAGGAGACCUGCCGACACUGUCAGCAACGC
rnacentral:ncRNA from 1 species